UACAUAAACCCUACUACUUUAUUAGCCUUCGCUUUGUUGAAGCAGCGGCCGCCGCUCUAUAGUGGCCCCUUACCAUUCUGUUAUACAGAGAAACCGCGGUCGAGGAAACUAAGAAAUUUGGAUUUUUUUUAUUCCUUUUCUUCUCAUUCUCUACCGCGUUUCUCCGUAUAACGAAGUGGUUUUUGGGUCAAUACUAUUAUUCUUUUCGGUCAAUUGUUUGUAUUUUUCUGCCUUCUCUAUGACGACAAUUUUCAGAAAAUUUCUCAGUUUCUAUGUUAAUGACAUGAUUGAAUUUGAUUUUUCUUUUAUGUGGUGGUAUCAGUUAGAUGUUAUGACUAAUUUCUCAUAGAUUUUGUAGUAGUAGGAUAUCUGAAUUGUUGUUAGUGACAGUUGUGAGUAGCAAAAUUUUACUAUGGAGUUGGAGUUAAAUAUAGUUGUAAAGUAAAAAUGAAUUAUAGUGGAAGUACAACUUUUAGGAGUACAAUUUAGAACAAAUGAUUCAUCAAAACACUCAGAUUGCUAAUAUUGUUACUUGCUUAAGAUUGAAAUUUCUGAAAUAUUUCUCUAGUAUGAAUGUGAUUCUCUUAAUAAUGUCUUGCAUAUAUGCUUAUGAUCUUUACUCUGUUAUUGGUUUAUUGUACAUGAUCCUAAGGGCUGCAGUGUUAAGUACCUGUGUUGACCAUUUAGCAACAACCCAUUGAAAAGAAUCAAUUUCCUUUUUAAAUAAAUUUCAUUAAAUGUUAGGGCGAAAAGAAAUACAAGUAGUAUACCAAAAAAGUAAGGAUUUCCUUAUAAGGAUGCACCUUGAUAGAAGCACUGUAGAAUAAUUUAGCUGGUCUUUAAGCACUGGGUGGGUUCUAUGGUCUGAUAGGGCAUCGUUUUUAUAUUGUAACUUAACUAGACAAUUGUACUUUUAUAUGUAUGCUUAGUUGGCCGAUGAAGAUAACUGACUUUAGGAAUGUGGUUCAGGUGUUCAAUGGCUAAAGCGAAGGACCUGCACCUGAAGACCAGCAGCUUUGAGAGUUUACAUUUGUCUGGGACCACCAAUUUUAUGCGCUCAUGCAAAGGUGAAGGAAAAAACUUGUCUCAAAUUCAAAAUAAAAUCAAUAUAGAUAAUCAAGAAAAGAGCAGUCAUAUAUUUCCCUUUGGAGUGAUUGAAGUUUCUUUCCUUCACAAAAUAAGGACAGUAAAAGCUUCUGCAUCAACUUAUUCAAUAUCAUUCCCAUUGUUCGAAGCAUAAUUAAUCAUCGCUUCUGCUUCUGCUGGAAAGACCAAUAUUCUCAUUGAAUUGUGCAUAAAAUGAUACGUUUUGCACAAGGUGUCAUACUUGUGCAGCUCCCAGCCGGCAACUGCUGCUUUUUUGUUCAAUGUUUCAGUUACUUUCCCUGCAUAUCCCAUUCCAUCUUUUCCUAAUUCCAUUGUAACAUCUUUAACUUUAGCAGUUUUUUCCCCAACAUAGCUUGUUGCACUCUUGCUCUGUUCUGGAACGCUCUGUUUUGCAAUUCACGUCAGGGAAAGAAGUUUUUGUUUCA